rnacentral:rRNA from 1 species
AACCCGACUCCAUGAAGCUGGAUUCGCUAGUAAUCGCGCAUCAGCCACGGCGCGGUGAAUACGUUCCCGGGCCUUGUACACACCGCCCGUCAAGCCAUGGAAGCCGGGGGUGCCUGAAGUGCGCUGCCGCAAGGAGCGCCCUAGGGUAAAACCGGUGACUGGGGCUAAGUCGUAACAAGGUAAC